AACCCCUGUGAACAUACCAUUUGUUGCCUCGGCGGUGCCUGCUUCGGCAGCCCGCCAGAGGACCCAAACCCUUGAUUUUAUACAGUAUCUUCUGAGUAAAUGAUUAAAUAAAUCAAAACUUUCAACAACGGAUCUCUUGGUUCUGGCAUCGAUGAAGAACGCAGCGAAAUGCGAUAAGUAAUGUGAAUUGCAGAAUUCAGUGAAUCAUCGAAUCUUUGAACGCACAUUGCGCCCGCCAGUAUUCUGGCGGGCAUGCCUGUUCGAGCGUCAUUUCAACCCUCAAGCCCCCGGGCUUGGUGUUGGAGAUCGGCGUGCCCUCCGGGGCGCGCCGGCUCCCAAAUAUAGUGGCGGUCUCGCUGUAGCUUCCUCUGCGUAGUAGCACACCUCGCACUGGAAAACAGCGUGGCCACGCCGUUAAACCCCCCACUUCUGAAAGGUUGACCUCGGAUCAGGUAGGAAUACCCGCUGAACUUAAGCAUAUCAAUA
rnacentral:rRNA from 1 species